rnacentral:lncRNA from 1 species
AUGAACUUUAGAGGUACCUUCCAGCCUCAACUAUUCUGUAAUCAACAGGGAAAACUUCAAAACAAGCAUGGAUUUUUUCAUCGGCUAAGAAACGCAUUGGUUCGGGUGUCUCAUGUAGCAUCUUUCCACUGGGAUGUGCCACAGAAAAACCACUACGAGAGUUACUAUCAUAUUCAGUCAUAUUCAAAGGAUAAAUCAUUUCAGCCUCUCCUGGAUGAAAAUUUGGACAGUGGAAUUUACAGAGGUGCUACAGUUGUAUUUCAUCGGCGACAAGAGAUGGAGGAGACCAUGACUGGAUCAUUGGGUGAUGCUCUGGCAUUAUUCUGUAAUGGGAAACCUGAGUUUGGCUACACAAGAGGCUGCUGAAAUCCAGCAUUUGUUUUCAGAUAUACAUUGAUGCUUUCUAAGGAAAUGAUUGUAAGAAGCCAGGGAAUACUUUAAAACAAUGUUGCUUAUGUAUUCUCCAGCAUUAUCAUGACCUAAGGAAACAAGAGCAGUAACUGCUAGGGACUGUGGACCAGUUCAACCCCAGAAUAACUGUAAAGAAGACCAAGUGAGAUUUAAUUUUUUUGUUUGUUUGUUUUUGUUUGCUUUAUUUUACCAGCCCAAAGCAAUGUUAUCUUAUGCCUACUGAGUACAGAUACGUAAAAACCUGCCUUCAAAAUAUUUGAUCAAAUAAUUCAUCUCUUGGUUAGAUAAGAAUGUAUUUAGUGUUCGUUUUCAUCAGAUCAAGUAUGACAUCUGAGUGGAUCUGCCUUUACUGGAUCUUUUGCUCAAAGAGACAAGGUGCACAAAGGAGAGCCCCAUAAUCCUACUAGUACUCUCUGGAAUAGCACUUGAGAGCUUAAGGCGACAUUCUGAGUUGUUGAUUCUUGUGUGGCAGCAUGUUUACUCUCCAUUAGAUGAAAAAUUAAAAUAAAUUUGUGGGCUUUAUAGUUUGAUGCUGCUGU